rnacentral:rRNA from 1 species
AGCAGCCGCGGUAAUUCCAGCUCCAAUAGCGUAUAUUAAAGUUGUUGCAGUUAAAAAGCUCGUAGUUGAAUUUCGAGACCGGCUUACUGGUCGUGCUUUUGUACGUACUGGUAUAAUCGGUUUCUCCUUUCUGACGAACUAUAAUGCCAUUAAUUUGGUGUUAUAGGGAAUCAGGACUGUUACUUUGAAAAAAUUAGAGUGUUUAAAGCAGGCUCACGCUUGAAUACAUUAGCAUGGAAUAACGGAAUAGGACGUUUGAUUCUAUUUUGUUGGUUUCUAGGAUCGACGUAAUGAUUAAUAGGGAUAGUUGGGGGCAUUAGUAUUCAAUUGUCAGAGGUGAAAUUCUUGGAUUUAUUGAAGACUAACUACUGCGAAAGCAUUUGCCAAGGAUGUUUUCAUUAAUCAAGAACGAAAGUUAGGGGAUCGAAGACGAUCAGAUACCGUCGUAGUCUUAACCAUGAACUAUGCCGACUAGGGAUCGGAUGGAUGUUAAUUUUUAAUGACUCAUUCGGCGCCUUAC